GGGGAAUAACGCUGGGAAACCGGCGCUAGUACCGCAUAAGCUCGAGAGAGGAAAGGAGCAAUUCGCCGAAAGAGGAGCCCGCGGCUGAUUAGCUAGUUGGUGAGGUAAAGGCUCACCAAGGCAAUGAUCGGUAGCCGGCCUGAGAGGGCACACGGCCACACUGGCACUGAAACACGGGCCAGACUCCUACGGGAGGCAGCAGUGGGGAAUCUUGCACAAUGGGGGAAACCCUGAUGCANCGACGCCGCGUGAGUGAUGACGCCCUUCGGGGUGUAAAGCUCUUUCGGCAGGGACGAUAAUGACGGUACCUGAAGAAGAAGCUGCGGCUAACUACGUGCCAGCAGCCGCGGUAAUACGUAAGCAGCGAGCCGUUGUUCGGAGUUACUGGCGUAAAGAGUGCGUANGCGGNUNUCUAAGUUUGGUGUGAAAUCUCCCGGCUUAACUGGNAGGGUGCGCCGAAGACUGGAAGCUUGAGUAUGGGAGAGGUAAACCGGAAUUCCUGGUGUAGCGGUGAAAUGCGUAGAUAUCAGGAGGAACACCUGCGGUGUAACGGCUUACUGGACCAUAACUGACGCUGAAGCACGAA
rnacentral:rRNA from 1 species